rnacentral:rRNA from 1 species
UACGUAGGGGGCAAGCGUUGUCCGGAUUCAUUGGGCGUAAAGGGUCCGUAGGCGGCUCAGCAAGUCGGGUGUGAAAUCUCCAGGCUCAACCUGGAGGGGCCACUCGAUACUGCUGUGGCUUGAGUCCAGUAGGGGAGCAUGGAAUUCCCGGUGUAGCGGUGAAAUGCGUAGAUAUCGAGAGGAACACCUGCGGCGAAGGCGGGUUGCUGGGCUGAUACUGACGCUGAGGCGCGAAAGCCAGGGGAGCGAACGGG